rnacentral:rRNA from 1 species
UGUUUCGGCUAGGGGGCCAUCCCGGCUUACCAACCCGAUGCAAACUGCGAAUACCGGAGAAUGUUAUCACGGGAGACACACGGCGGGUGCUAACGUCCGUCGUGAAGAGGGAAACAACCCAGACCGCCAGCUAAGGUCCCAAAGUCAUGGUUAAGUGGGAAACGAUGUGGGAAGGCCCAGACAGCCAGGAUGUUGGCUUAGAAGCAGCCAUCAUUUAAAGAAAGCGUAAUAGCUCACUGGUCGAGUCGGCCUGCGCGGAAGAUGUAACGGGGCUAAACCAUGCACCGAAGCUGCGGCAGCGACGUUUAUGCGUUGUUGGGUAGGGGAGCGUUCUGUAAGCCUGCGAAGGUGGCCUGUGAGGGUUGCUGGAGGUAUCAGAAGUGCGAAUGCUGACAUAAGUAACGAUAAAGCGGGUGAAAAGCCCGCUCGCCGGAAGACCAAGGGUUCCUGUCCAACGUUAAUCGGGGCAGGGUGAGUCGACCCCUAAGGCGAGGCCGAAAGGCGUAGUCGAUGGGAAACGGGUUAAUAUUCCCGUACUUGGUGUUACUGCGAAGGGGGGACGGAGAAGGCUAUGUUGGCCGGGCGACGGUU